rnacentral:lncRNA from 1 species
CUCUGCCGCGUGUUUGGAAGUUAUGGCCGCGCGGGUCUGUGGUGUUCUCCCUGAAAGGCCUAAGCUUUGGGUGAUGGCAUUGCCUUUUGGCACUCGGGAGACAAGAUGCAGGUUCCGUCUCAGAAGUAAUGGCUGGAUCCCUGAAAGCCAACGGGCUCGGUGUGGUCCACCCGUCAGAAGGCAUAGGUAGAUGGUGGGCAUCUGCCUCAGACAUAGUUCUCAAGUUCAGCCAGAAGAAUGCGCGUUGAGCCCUCUGCAGCCCGUGUCGACGGAGGUGUUGUCUCCAGGAAGCAUCAUGGAAAGGCGUGGUGGUGCACAAGGGCCUUCAGGAUGCCUGCGCCUGGUGACGGCUGCGCCUCAGGUUCUGGGCCUGACUCGGAAGGGUGCCUGUGAGCAGAAGAGCUGGCACGCGCAGCUCAGUGGACCAUCAGUGCCAACCCGUCCUGUACCCUGGCUGAGGGGUGUGCUAAGUGGCAGAUUCCCGGUUGGCUCAUCGUAAGGCGUGGCACAAAAUCACCAUCGAAAGAAAGGGCCUUCGGGAUGCCUCUAUCUGGGUUGGCUGAUCCUUGGUUUAGACCGGUGGUCCUCUAUCUUCCCAAUGUGGUACUGCUAUAAUACAUAAAGGUGAGCCCCAACCAUAAUAUUUCCAUUGCUACUUCCUGACUGUAAUUUUGUUGCUGUUAUGAAUCGUAUUAUUAAUAUCUGUUUUCCGAUAGUCUUUCAGGUGACCCCUGUGACAAGGUCCUUUGUUUGACCCCCCGCAAAGGGGUCACAACCCAUAGGUUCAGGACUGCUGACCUGUCUUAGGCUAGCAGCUGCCGUGGCCCUUGCCUUGGGGCAGAUAUUCCCUCUGGACUAGCAGAAUAAAGGCUGUCCACCCA